AGAGGAUUAACUAGGCUUCAAAAUGAAAGUGAGGAAGAAGAGUCACUAGAAGUAUUAAUCUGAACAGUAAUUACUGCUGGUUGCUGCUCUUACGAAAAAUCCAAACAUAGCAGAUGUAUCUGGUCCAGGCUUUGAGUAAACUGAAGUUCUCCUUGCCUUCCAUAGAAGAACAAAAAGAGAGCGAGUUAGAAUUGCACCUGAGUUAUUUCACUGGUUGCUGGACUAGUGGAAUUACUUGUUUAUCUCAAAGCCUAAGAUGCAGUUAUGUUUAUUUCCUACUGUUAUGGCAAAGAAUAUAUACCAAGAAUGAUACAAUAUUAAUGCUUUCUAUGUACAGCCACAUAAAGAACUUCUCUAAGAAGUUGCUGUAG
rnacentral:lncRNA from 1 species